GAUGAACGCUGGCGGCGUGCCUAAUACAUGCAAGUCGAGCGAACGGACGCGGAGCUUGCUUCUCUGAUGUUAGCGGCGGACGGGUGAGUAACAUGUGGAUAACCUACCUAUAAGACUGGGAUAACUUCGGGAAACCGGAGAUAAUACCGGAUAAUAUUUUGAACCGCAUGGUGCAAAAGAGAAAGACGGUCUUGCUGUCACUUAUAGAUGGUUCCGAGCUGCAUUAGCUAGUUGGUAAGGUAACGGCUUACCAAGGCAACGAUGCAUAGCCGACCUGAGAGGGUGAUCGGCCACACUGGAACUGAGACACGGUCCAGACUCCUACGGGAGGCAGCAGUAGGGAAUCUUCCGCAAUGGGCGAAAGCCUGACGGAGCAACGCCGCGUGAGUGAUGAAGAUCUUCGGAUCGUAAAACUCUGUUAUUAGGGAAGAACAUAUGUGUAAGUAACUGUGCACAUCUUGACGGUACCUAAUCAGAAAGCCACGGCUAACUACGUG
rnacentral:rRNA from 1 species